CCCAUCGAAGCUGCAUGAGGAUAAAUUAAAGAAAAGGGUGAGACAUGCAAAUUUCUAGAGUGAAGCUAGAGAGGAACCAAGAAGUCUAGGAGAAGCGCCCUAAAAAAAGUUGUGCUUUGUCAAAGUGUUCAGGAAGGAAGCUUUGAGAUUGUUCAAUAGUGACCUUGACACUCUAGUGGGGAGUGGAAAAGAAACUAGAGAACACCAAUCGAUCCUAAUGGAGCUUCAUAUUCACAUCUUCCAACCUUAAGGAAGGAGGGAAGCUGUUGGAAGCAAUCUCUAUUUAUGAAGAAGCUUAUGGGCAAAAGGGACUCAUAGCCUCCAUUUGGCCUUUCCCCAACAAUGGAGAGAAGAUGUGUAAGUUAAAGCCUAGUAACAAAUUAUUAAGCAAAAU